rnacentral:rRNA from 1 species
AUUGAACGCUGGCGGCAGGCCUAACACAUGCAAGUCGAACGAGUGGCGGACGGGGGGGUAAUGUCUGGGAACCUGCCUGAUGGAGGGGGAUAACUACUGGAAACGGUAGCUAAUACCGCAUCCCAUCAGAUCUGCCCAGAUGGGAUUAUCUGGUUGGUGGGGUAACGGCUAACAAAGGCGACGAUCCCUACCUGGUCUGAGAGGAGGACCAGCCACACUGGAACGGAGACACGGGCCAGACGCCUACGGGAGGCAGCAGUGGGGAAGAUGGCACAAGGGGCGCAAGCCUGAUGCAGCCAUGCCGCGUGUAUUAAGAAGGCCUUCGGGUUGUAAAGUACUUUCAGCGGGGAGGCGUUACCAGCAGAAGAAGCACCGGCUAACUCCGUGCCUGCAGCCGCGGUAAUAC